GUCGCUGCGAGGCGGGGUCUGGAGGAAGCCCCGUAGACAAGAGGUGCGAGGCGAUGAAUAGAAACCACACAAAGGAAGCCUAGGACGCGAAACGAGCCGGCACGAAAUGGCGAAUUUUGAUGGUGCAGCGUCUAGGGUAGACGCGGCGCUUGUGCAUCGACAGUUCACGUU
rnacentral:ncRNA from 1 species